rnacentral:ncRNA from 2 species
GACGAACCGUGCGAACGUUAUUCGGAAUCACUGGGCUUAAAGCGCGUGUAGGCGGGACGGCACGUCUGUCGCUGAAAUCCCCCGGCUCAACCGGGGAACGGGCGCGGAUACGACCGUCCUGGAGGGGCGUAGGGGGACCUGGAACUUCCGGUGGAGCGGUGAAAUGCGUUGAGAUCGGAAGGAACGCCCGUGGCGAAAGCGAGGUCCUGGACGCUUACUGACGCUGAGACGCGAAAGCCAGGGGAGCGAACGGG